UUUUCAACGCUAGCACUCGUUAUCUUUUUCCAAAAAAAAAAAAAGUUGAGCAGUAAGCAUCAUCUCUUUGUGCCUCUGGCGAAGAUUGAUGGGAGCAACCCUCUGUUUCAGUUUUCUAUUUAUCAUCCCUGAACCCAGUUACAGCUUUCCUUCUUUGUUUCUCUAAUCCCUACAGCACUCAGCAUUGUAGAGUCAGCUCCGAUUUCUCUUGCCUAUGAGUAUCAUUGACCAAUCAGCUGCCGUUAAUAAUGCUGAAUAUGUCAUCAACUGUUGCUGCUAUUUCGUCCGCUGCUUCCAGCUUACAGUCAUCCUCUAUCUUAAGGUUGAAUGAAUAAAGAACUGUAGUUUCAGAAGAAGUCGUGAUGUUAAGGUGCAAAACUGUAAGCCUAAGAUCAUCCAAUGCAACAAUGGCUCUCAACAACUGGCCUGUCUUCCUUUCACUCUGAAUUUUCAAAUUUACAUGAUUUUUUAUGACUGUCACCUCUAUCUCCGCCGCCUCCGAUUUUCUCUUCACCUUGGCUUCCUCUUCACAAUCUCCGUUCUCCCUCUGGAUAUUACACUCUGCCUGCGAAGUAAACAACCAGUUAGAUGAAAUGUCCAUGGCAGCUACAGCUUCUUCUGUUUUUCUCAUUCUCUUUUGCGCUUCCAGAGACUGUAGAAGCUGCUCUAGUUCCUUCACGAAGUCUAUUGCACCUCCUAUAAUCGACGCUUGGUCACCCUUUUAACAAGGAAAAAAAGGGUGAACAGUCAAUAAAGAUUGGAACCGUUUUUUUAUUUUUUGACGCCGAGAAAUAAGAGAUUUUCAAUUUGUUAGACUAAAUAUUGAAUUCUCGAAAACAAUGAAUUUAAAUGGAAGGCGUGAUUUUUCUAUGUUUGUGAUUACCCUUUGUACGUAGGAGGGGGGCAUGAGAGAGCGGAGAGAGUUGAGGUGGUCGUUCAUUUGGCGACGGCGGUUGCGUUCCACAGCAAUGUGGGUCAUGCGCUGACUCUCCACUUCUUCUUUGUUCUUCGUUGGCCUUGUUCGCUUUCGCUUUCUUCGUUCCUUGGGGACUACUGGAGAAGUAUUGGAAAAGUGGGUCUCGUUGAGCACGGUUUGUGGGUGAGUCCAUGGAAAUGACGAGACUGAGUUACGUUCUUUGCAAAAGUGUCCUAUUGAGUUGGUUUGUCUUUGGUUAGGCUCGGGGCUUACAUCUUCAAGACAGAAAUUUGAACGAGGGUUCUGAAGAUCUUUCGCUUCUGAUUUGACUGGUGAGUGCAAAUCAGCCAUGUCAUGAGUGACACAACUUUCAAGCUCCAGCGCUUGAAUUUGGGUGUCCGUUUCAGUGGUGUAGGUGUUCACAUCCCAUGGCCUUUUGAGGUGUUGGAGUUUUAGUAAUGUCUGAAAGUUAGGUUCUUUGAGGGGUAAAAAAGGUGGGUAUUCUACCUCUUGUAGCAUUUGAAGAAAAGGCAUUUUGUCUUCCAAACUUGGCAUCGAGAAUUGUGUUUCUUCUUCCUCAAAUCUCAAACUUUCUGUGUUUACAAAACAUUGUUCUAAGCCCUCUACAUCCAGAUGUUCACCUAAGAACUGCAAGAAAAACAGAAAAUAGGAAAAAGAAUUGUGAAGAAAAGAAACGAAACAAGGGAAAUUCUUGGGCUGGGUGGAUGGGAUGGAGGAUUGAGUCUCAAGAGGGAGAACAAAAGAAGAAUAAGAACAGAAUGUUAAAGAGGAGAAACAGCGAAGCAGAUAUUAGCCUUUCCAGUAAAACAACACAAUGCAUUGAAUGCAAGCAUUUGGAGAAGUAAAUGCUGUCCAUUUCUCGAUUCCAGUAAAGGAUUUAAAGGAAAAAGAGAGCUAAAUUUAAGAAAGGUACUAAAAUGAGCAAAGUAACAUACACAAGGAUCAAAAGGGCCUUGAAGCUUCUCCAUUACAGCUGAGCAGAACUUGCAAGUAGGCCUUAAAUUCUCUCACACUCACUUACCAACAUUCCAUUGUGAUGCUAACAGAAAAAUAGUAAUAAAUGAAACACCGAAUGAAGCAGAACGAAAGACACCAUAUACAAGCACAAAUAUAUUCCUUUCUUUUCUGAUGCUGGUGAUACUCUUAAAUAGAAUAAUAUUAAAUGCUUUCAAGAACGCCACACAGCAGAAGAGAGAGAGAGAGAGGGAAUAACCAGCAAGAAAU
rnacentral:misc_RNA from 1 species